rnacentral:lncRNA from 13 species
UGGCUUGGAGGAAUCAGGGGAAUGCAAUUUUGCAGUUAUCUAUCGUAACAGCUGCUUUUCUUAGCUGCUAGAAGACCUAAUGCUUACUGGAUCCAUAUGUUUUAGAGGUAUGACUGAAACCUAAAUUAGUUAUGCUAAUAGAGGUAUACAAUGGAAGAAGCAUGAGUCCUUGGCUUAGUGCUUAGAGAAGAGCCACCAAAGAGACAUGUGUGGCAAAGGACAUUCACAUCAGACUUUGUGGACAUGGAUGAAUCUGGAGAACGUCAUCCUCAGCAAACUGACACAAGAACAGAAAAUGAAACACCGCAUAUUCUCACUCAUAGGUGG